GUACUCGCUUCAGCAGCACAUAUACUAAAAUUAGAACGACACAGAGAAGAUUAGCAUGGUCCCUGCGUAAGGAUGACAAACAAAUUUGUGAAGCAUUCCAUUAAAAA
ensembl:snRNA U6 U6 spliceosomal RNA